GUCUCCGUUUCGCAAUCGGAUAGCGCGUUCGGCUGUUGACAGAAUGAUUGUUUGUUCGAGCCCACCGGGGGCG